rnacentral:rRNA from 1 species
GACAGAGGGUGCAAACGUUGCUCGGAAUCACUGGGCGUAAAGGGCGUGUAGGCGGGAAGGAAAGUCGGGCGUGAAAUCCCUGGGCUCAACCCAGGAACUGCACUCGAAACUUCUUUUCUUGAGUGCCGGAGAGGAAAGCGGAAUUCCUGGUGUAGAGGUGAAAUUCGUAGAUAUCAGGAGGAACACCAGUGGCGAAGGCGGCAUCCUGGACCGACAUUGACGGCUGAACGGCGAAAAGCUA